rnacentral:lncRNA from 1 species
CACAUGAAUCAGUUGGAAAGGUUUAGAAGUUCUAAUGGAGCUAUCAGAAAAAGGGAGCCUGGUUUGUCUGGCCAUAGGGCAGACAGAGCAAGGAAAUGACUGUUUGGGAGCAAAUUGGAAAGGAAGACCAGAAAUGCAUUUCAUGUUAGCAAAUGGAAUGUGUGCAAGUCUUAAGUGCCAAGUGUAAUUCAUAUCAGAAUUAAAAUCAUUAUUACAAGUGGAUCUAUUAACAUAAGAAUGCAUAGAAACAGUCUUGUUUUCAGAUAAAAGAUCAUCAUUACAAGAUGGCACAGAAACAACUUGUUUAUUACUAGCAGUAUAAGAAACAGGAACAGGAUUACAAGGAGUAGGGGAAGAAGGAGACCAAGCUAGUUUAUACAGCC